UGCAGUAUCAGAUAUUUCCUCAACGAAACAUCCGACUCUUACUUAACAUGGGCAAGGAAAGGACCAGCGUCAACAUGGCCGUCGUCGGCUACUACUAGACCUUAUUCCUUCAGCAGAUGGAAGGCUAGUACAACACGGAUAUGACCCGGCUUCUGUACAUGGACACGCUCUCGGCACGGACAACACGAUGCUCUCCCGGACUAUACCUCAACCUGAUUGGUUUUCUAUUUUCUUAAUAGUUUAAUAAACACAAAUUGCCAGUAUUUAA
rnacentral:lncRNA from 1 species